UCGAGAAUUUUUCUCAAUGGGCGCAAGCCUGAAGGAGCGACGCCGCGUGGGGGAUGAAUGGCUUCGGCCCGUAAACCCCUGUCAUUUGCGAUCAAACCACAUUAUUUAAAAGAUGAUGUGCUGAUAGUAGCGAAAGAGGAAGGGACGGCUAACUCUGUGCCAGCAGCCGCGGUAAUACAGAGGUCCCAAGCGUUGUUCGGAUUCACUGGGCGUAAAGGGUGCGUAGGCGGCCGGGUAAGUCUGCUGUGAAAUCCCGCAGCUCAACUGCGGAACUGCAUUGGAUACUAUCCGGCUAGAGGAAUGGAGGGGAGACUGGAAUUCUCGGUGUAGCAGUGAAAUGCGUAGAUAUCGAGAGGAACACCAGUGGCGAAGGCGAGUCUCUGGACAUUUCCUGACGCUGAGGCACGAAAGCCAGGGGAGCAAACGGG
rnacentral:rRNA from 1 species